CCAGCUCGCUGGUUGCGUGCUGAGUCACAAUAACUGCUCGAAUCGCAUGGCUUUACGCCGGCGAUGGUUCAUUCAAAUUUCUGCCCUAUCAGCUUUCGAUGGUAGGAUCGAGGCCUACCAUGGCGUUUACGGGUAACGGAGAAUUAGGGUUCGAUUCCGGAGAGGGAGCCUGAGAGAUGGCUACCACAUCCAAGGAAGGCAGCAGGCGCGUAAAUUGCCCGAAUCCUGACACAGGGAGGUAGUGACAAGAAAUAACAAUACAGGGCUACAUCUAGUCUUGUAAUUGGAAUGAGUACAAUUUACAUCUCUUAACGAGGAUCAAUUGGAGGGCAAGUCUGGUGCCAGCAGCCGCGGUAAUUCCAGCUCCAAUAGCGUAUAUUAAAGUUGUUGCAGUUAGAACGCUCGUAGUCGGAUUUCGGGGCGGGCCGACCGGUCUGCCGAUGGGUACGCACUGGUCGGCGCGUCCUUCCUUCCGGAGACCGUGCCUACUCUUAACUGAGCGGGGGCGGGAGACGGAUCGUUUACUUUGAAAAAAUCAGAGUGUUUCAAGCAGGCAGCUCGUUCUUGCGUGGAUUAGCAUGGGAUAAUGAAAUAGGACUUUGGUGUUAUUUUGUUGGUUUCGAACACCGAAGUAAUGAUUAAAA
rnacentral:rRNA from 1 species